UAAGGAAUAUUGGUCAAUGGGCGAAAGCCUGAACCAGCCAUGCCGCGUGAAGGAUUAAGGUCCUCUGGAUUGUAAACUUCUUUUAUCUGGGACGAAAAAAGGCGAUUCUUCGUCACUUGACGGUACCAGAUGAAUAAGCACCGGCUAACUCCGUGCCAGCAGCCGCGGUAAUACGGAGGGUGCAAGCGUUAUCCGGAUUCACUGGGUUUAAAGGGUGCGUAGGCGGGCAGGUAAGUCAGUGGUGAAAUCCUAGAGCUUAACUCUAGAACUGCCAUUGAUACUAUCUGUCUUGAAUAUUGUGGAGGUAAGCGGAAUAUGUCAUGUAGCGGUGAAAUGCUUAGAUAUGACAUAGAACACCUAUUGCGAAGGCAGCUUACUACGCAUAUAUUGACGCUGAGGCACGAAAGCGUGGGGAUCAAACA
rnacentral:rRNA from 1 species